ensembl:lncRNA
AUGACUCCAACUCUGUGUCCAGGGAACCCGCCUCUGCGACCCCCAAUGACUCCAACUCUGUGUCCAGGGAACCCGCCUCUGCGACCCCCCAAUGACUCCAACUCUGUGUCCAGGGAACCCGCCUCUGCGACCCCCAAUGACUCCAACUCUGUGAUCAGUGAACCCACCUCUGCGACCCCCAGUGAACCCAAUAUUCCAAAUGUGUUCUACAGGCCAAUAAAAAGAAAGCAGAGACAAACACUUAAUGGGAAGAAAAGAAUAUCUUUUUCGUUGGCAGCCUUGCACAUCCUGUGGCAAGAAGUGGAGGAGUACAUGGGUGUCCGAGGAUACUGUACAGUAGUUAUUAAAAUAUUUGUGUCUGUUUAAAAUUAUACUCAUUUGACUUGUCAAUACCAUGAAAUAAAAAGAAAGUAUGUGUACUAAUUGUGCUUUUAUGAAUUUGUUUUAACAGAUCAUUUUAUGUGAAAAAAAUUAUGCAUGACUCUGUAAAUCUUGCAGAACAGCAAAGCAUAAAACAACUUCUCUAUCACACAAUACAUCCUACAAUGAAGUGUUGUAUUAUAAAAUAAAGUGAGAUUAAUGUGGUGCAUAAAAUAUGGGGUUUCAUUAAACAACAACAACAACCAAAAAUUGAUUAAUUGGAAUUCUCUGAUUCUUUUAAUAAUAAUAAUACUGAUUUGGGACAAUGAUGCAGCAACAUUUAUGUAACAUGUAUAUGCUGUGGCAAAUAAUAAUGCCUAAUUUCAGUUACUUGAAAAUUCUGCAAAGUGCAUUACAGGACUAUAGUGGGUUGUAUUUCUACAGACACCUUUGGCACAUCUCUUGAUCUUGGAUCAACAGUUGAAUGAUCAACAUGGUUCCUUAACUGUAUUAGAAAAUAUAGCAUCCACAUUACUGAAAUCCAGCAUUCGAUGAAGAGCAAGAAGAUGAAAAGGUGCAUUUUAUAUUGCAUGCGGUUUUGCACUGUUUAUACUUAAUUUUUGUCAUAAUAGUGAUGUUCCAUCUUAAUGAAUGAAUGACACAUUGACCUGUAAAUGUUAUGAACAACUGAAAACCACUACUUUCUUCAGCAAAACUGCUUAUAGCAGAAUGAAACUUGUUUGAACUUUUUCCUGAAAUAAAUCAACUGAAUUGAACUGAACUGAAUUAAGCGAAAUAAUGACUAUUACAUUGUUAGAGCAGAAUUUGAAUUUGUCUCAUAUUUGAAGGUUUAAUUUUUCUGUUAUUUUACUGUUUAUUACUGUGUUUAUUACUGUUUAUUAUUUUAUGUUCACCUAUUGUCAAAAUGUAAAAUAAAUAAUAAAUAACAGAAAUAUAAAGAGAUAAUCAGUCUGCAGCCUAGUCAUUAUAUAUAUAUAUAUAUAUAUAUAUAUAUAUAUAUAUAUAUAUAUAUAUAUAUAUAUAUAUAUAUAUAUAAUAUUUUUUUUUUUUAUUAAAGAAAUAUGUAACUUGGAAUGCAUUCAUCUCGUAAUACUUAUUUCGCCAUCUAAAACCGGAAGACCUGUCAUAGAUGACCAUAUACAGAUAAGUGUGCAUGGCGCCUCUGUUGAACUGGGUUGUCAUUGGCUCCACAGCACCGGCAGGAAUUGCUGUGGUUGGACUGUCUUUAAACCGUUAUUUAAAAGCGCUUCGUGUUAAAAAAAGUACGUUUUUGCUGUUAUCAAUAUAUAAGUGAUAGAUUCAGUUAACAAUACCACGUUUCUAUGGUGAGAGAAAUUAUCCCUUAAUCGAGAUCUCAACCCUAACCCUAAGCCUAACUAUACACUUCAAAGAACUACAAGUAUCAGCACUACGAUUCCAGUUCCUAGUGAUAGAAUGUCAGGGGAUUAUGGGUAAUGUAGUUUAAAAGUUUUACGGAUUAAAUCAAAUAAUAUCCAUCUUUAAAGAAGAAAUAAAUAUCUAAAUGUGUUCAUUGGACAAACCUCUGUGACAUAUUUCAGAGGUGGACUGAAAUGUACUAUUUUACUGUGGACAUUUUUUUAAAUGCAUUUAUAUCGCCUUUCCAACUAUGUUGGGAAACUGUGUCUAACAUUAUUUAUUAAAAAUAGCAUAUACAGUUGUCCUGUCAGUUUUCUUCUAAACACACUAAUCAGACUUUGAUUUACAGCCAUUUAAAAUGUGGAUUUUUUCUCUCUCUCUCUCUCUCUUCUAGGGGCAUUACUGGGCCCCUGUGGGUGAAAGGGCAGUAAAACCUACACAUAUUGUCCUCAUCAUGUACAAUAAAAAUGUGUUAUCACAUUUAUAUUAUAGAAAUGUAGCGUUCCUCCAAAUUUGCAUUAUGCUUAGUUUUUUUGUGGGCAUUGUUGAGACUAUCUGAUGAAAUAAAGAAUCAGAAUUAGCUUUAUUGUCAAGUACAGUGGGUGUACAUGUACAAGGAUUUUGUCUUGGUGUACAGGUGCUUAGAAGUAGAAACAAAUGAAAAUGAAAACGCAUAACAUGAAUGCACACUACCCAGACUGCUGCU